rfam:Myotis lucifugus cont2.17456, whole genome shotgun sequence.
UAGGGGGAGGUUGGUGCCAUGUGUGGUACUGAGAUAAUGGCUGCCCACAGUACCACCCAUGGCGCCCUCCUCCCCCUACA